ACGGAAGGCAGCAGUGGGGAAUAUUGGGCAAUGGGCGCAAGCCUGACCCAGCAACGCCGCGUGAAGGAAGAAGGUUUUCGGAUUGUAAACUUCUGUCCUUGGUGACGAAGGAAGUGACGGUAGCCAAGGAGGAAGCCCCGGCUAACUACGUGCCAGCAGCCGCGGUAAUACGUAGGGGGCAAGCGUUGUCCGGAAUUACUGGGUGUAAAGGGAGUGUAGGCGGGACUGCAAGUCAGAUGUGAAAACUACCGGCUCAACCGGUAGACUGCAUUUGAAACUGUGGUUCUUGAGUGAAGUAGAGGUAAGCGGAAUUCCAAGUGUAGCGGUGAAAUGCGUAGAUAUUAGGAGGAACAUCAGUGGCGAAGGCGGCUUACUGGGCUUUAACUGACGCUGAGGCUCGAAAGCGUGGGGAGCAAACAGGAUUAGAUACCCUGGUA
rnacentral:rRNA from 1 species